rnacentral:rRNA from 1 species
CAGUCGCCGCGGUAAUACGAAGGGGGCUAGCGUUGCUCGGAAUGACUGGGCGUAAAGGGCGCGUAGGCGGUUUGUACAGUUGGAUGUGAAAUUCCUGGGCUUAACCUGGGGGCUGCAUUCAAUACGUGCAGGCUUGAGUGUGGAAGAGGGUUGUGGAAUUCCCAGUGUAGAGGUGAAAUUCGUAGAUAUUGGGAAGAACACCGGUGGCGAAGGCGGCAACCUGGUCUAUGACUGACGCUGGGGCGCGAAAGCGUGGGGAGCAAACAGGAUUAGAUACCCCCGUAGUCCCUGUCUCUUAUAC